rnacentral:rRNA from 1 species
GUCGAGCGAAUGAUGAAGAAGCUUGCUUCUUCUGAUUUAGCGGCGGACGGGUGAGUAACACGUGGGCAACCUACCUAGUAGAUUGGGAUAACUCCGGGAAACCGGGGCUAAUACCGAAUAAUUCAUUUCACCUCAUGGUGAGAUGCUGAAAGGCGGUUUCGGCUGUCACUACUAGAUGGGCCCGCGGUGCAUUAGCUAGUUGGUGGGGUAAUGGCCUACCAAGGCAACGAUGCAUAGCCGACCUGAGAGGGUGAUCGGCCACAUUGGGACUGAGACACGGCCCAAACUCCUACGGGAGGCAGCAGUAGGGAAUCUUCCACAAUGGACGAAAGUCUGAUGGAGCAACGCCGCGUGAGUGAUGAAGGUUUUCGGAUCGUAAAACUCUGUUGUAAGGGAAGAACAAGUACGUUAGUAACUGAACGUACCUUGACGGUACCUUAUUAGAAAGCCACGGCUAACUACGUGCCAGCAGCCGCGGUAAUACGUAGGUGGCAAGCGUUGUCCGGAUUUAUUGGGCGUAAAGCGCGCGCAGGUGGUUUCUUAAGUCUGAUGUGAAAGCCCACGGCUCAACCGUGGAGGGUCAUUGGAAACUGGGAGACUUGAGUGCAGAAGAGGAAAGUGGAAUUCCAAGUGUAGCGGUGAAAUGCGUAGAGAUUUGGAGGAACACCAGUGGCGAAGGCGACUUUCUGGUCUGUAACUGACACUGAGGCGCGAAAGCGUGGGGAGCAAACAGGAUUAGAUACCCUGGUAGUCCACGCCGUAAACGAUGAGU